GAGCGGAGUUAUGAGGGAGCUUGCUCCCGAUUAACUUAGCGGCGGACGGGUGAGUAACACGUAGGCAACCUGCCUGUAAGACUGGGAUAACUCACGGAAACGUGUGCUAAUACCGGAUACGUUGUUCCUUCGCAUGGAGGAACAUGGAAAGACGGAGCAAUCUGUCACUUACAGAUGGGCCUGCGGCGCAUUGGCUAGUUGGUGGGGUAACGGCCUACCAAGGCGACGAUGCGUAGCCGACCUGAGAGGGUGAUCGGCCACAUUGGGACUGAGACACGGCCCAAACUCCUACGGGAGGCAGCAGUAGGGAAUCUUCCGCAAUGGACGCAAGUCUGACGGAGCAACGCCGCGUGAGUGAGGAAGGCCCUCGGGUCGUAAAGCUCUGUUGCCAGGGAAGAACAGGCGCAUGUUAACUGCAUGUGCUGUGACGGUACCUGAGAAGAAAGCCCCGGCUAACUACGUGCCAGCAGCCGCGGUAAU
rnacentral:rRNA from 1 species